rnacentral:tmRNA from 1 species
UUGCUUGCAUUGGCGAGCGGGGAUCAUAUAUACGCUUUGUUGUCCCCUCUGGGACUAUGGACAUAAACGCGCUCGUAAUAAGCGAAUCGGACCCGGGGGCGGUACCCGGCGGCUCCACCAACAUCCCUCUCGUUUUGGGGAUCAUGGGGCCGAAACAGGAUCGACGAACGUCUAAAGGGGUUAGCUUUGUCCCGGUGAGCCACCACCGUUAUCGGUGCAAAACGUACAGUUGCAAACGACAACCGUGCUCCGGUCGCUCUGGCUGCUUAAGCGGCUUGAAAGACCGAAAUUAAGCCUUUACGCCUAGCCGCGUAAAGCGGGGUUGGCAGGCACCUGGCAACAGAAGCCUGCACU